UAGGGAAUCUUCCACAAUGGACGCAAGUCUGAUGGAGCAACGCCGCGUGAGUGAAGAAGGCUUUCGGGUCGUAAAACUCUGUUAUUGAAGAAGAACGUGUGUGACAGUAACUGGUCAUGCAGUGACGGUAUUCAAUCAGAAAGUCACGGCUAACUACGUGCCAGCAGCCGCGGUAAUACGUAGGUGGCAAGCGUUGUCCGGAUUUAUUGGGCGUAAAGCGAGUGCAGGCGGUCUUUUAAGUCUGAUGUGAAAGCCUUCGGCUUAACCGAAGAAGGGCAUCGGAAACUGGGAGACUUGAGUGCAGAAGAGGAGAGUGGAACUCCAUGUGUAGCGGUGAAAUGCGUAGAUAUAUGGAAGAACACCAGUGGCGAAGGCGGCUCUCUGGUCUGUAACUGACGCUGAGGCUCGAAAGCGUGGGUAGCAAACAGGAUUAGAUACCCUGGUAGUCCACG
rnacentral:rRNA from 1 species